AGGGAUCAUUACCGAGUUUACAACUCCCAAACCCCUGUGAACAUACCACUUGUUGCCUCGGCGGAUCAGCCCGCUCCCGGUAAAACGGGACGGCCCGCCAGAGGACCCCUAAACUCUGUUUCUAUAUGUAACUUCUGAGUAAAACCAUAAAUAAAUCAAAACUUUCAACAACGGAUCUCUUGGUUCUGGCAUCGAUGAAGAACGCAGCAAAAUGCGAUAAGUAAUGUGAAUUGCAGAAUUCAGUGAAUCAUCGAAUCUUUGAACGCACAUUGCGCCCGCCAGUAUUCUGGCGGGCAUGCCUGUUCGAGCGUCAUUUCAACCCUCAAGCACAGCUUGGUGUUGGGACUCGCGUUAAUUCGCGUUCCUCAAAUUGAUUGGCGGUCACGUCGAGCUUCCAUAGCGUAGUAGUAAAACCCUCGUUACUGGUAAUCGUCGCGGCCACGCCGUUAAACCCCAACUUCUGAAUGUUGACCUCGGAUCAGGUAGGAAUACCCGCUGAACUUAA
rnacentral:rRNA from 6 species